rnacentral:rRNA from 1 species
AUACGUAGGUGGCAAGCGUUGUCCGGAUUUACUGGGUGUAAAGGGCGUGUAGGCGGAGAUGCAAGUCAGGAGUGAAAUCUAGGGGCUCAACCCCUAAACUGCUUUUGAAACUGUAUCCCUUGAGUAUCGGAGAGGCAGGCGGAAUUCCUAGUGUAGCGGUGAAAUGCGUAGAUAUUAGGAGGAACACCAGUGGCGAAGGCGGCCUGCUGGAUGACAACUGACGCUGAGGCGCGAAAGCGUGGGGAGAAAACAGGAUGAGAUACCCUGGUAGUCCACGCUGUAAACGAUGAAUACUAGGUGUGGGGGGACUGACCCCCUCCGUGCCGCAGUUAACACAAUAAGUAUUCCACCUGGGGAGUACGAUCGCAAGAUUGAAACUCAAAUGAAUUGGCGGGGG